rnacentral:rRNA from 1 species
UACGGGGGGGGCAAGCGUUGUUCGGAUUUACUGGGCGUAAAGGGCGCGUAGGCGGCUUAACAAGUCACUUGUGAAAUCUCCGGGCUUAACUCGGAACGGCCAAGUGAAACUGUCAAGCUAGAGUGCAGAAGGGGCAAUCGGAAUUCUUGGUGCAGCGGUGAAAUGCGUAGAUAUCAAGAGGAACACCUGAGGUGAAGACGGGUUGCUGGGCUGACACUGACGCUGAGGCGCGAAAGCCAGGGGAGCAAACGGG